UAACCUGCCCAAGAGAUCGGGAUAAUACCUGGAAACAGAUGCUAAUACCGGAUAACAACAGAUGAUGCCUAUCAACUGUUUAAAAGAUGGUUCUGCUAUCACUCUUGGAUGGACCUGCGGUGCAUUAGCUAGUUGGUAGGGUAACGGCCUACCAAGGCGAUGAUGCAUAGCCGAGUUGAGAGACUGAUCGGCCACAUUGGGACUGAGACACGGCCCAAACUCCUACGGGAGGCAGCAGCU
rnacentral:rRNA from 1 species